rnacentral:rRNA from 1 species
UACGAAGGGGGCUAGCGUUGCUCGGAAUCACUGGGCGUAAAGCGCACGUAGGCGGCUUUCUAAGUCAGGGGUGAAAUCCUGGAGCUCAACUCCAGAACUGCCUUUGAUACUGGAGAGCUUGAUUAAACUUGAGGUAGGCGGAAUGUGACAAGUAGCGGUGAAAUGCAUAGAUAUGACAUAGAACACCGAUAGCGAAGGCAGCUUACUACAGGAUGAUUGACGCUGAGGCACGAAAGCGUGGGGAGCAAACAGG